CCCUGCCUCAACCUCUGUCGACCUCUGCGCGGAGUCCCCCACGCUCUUCACAGGGAGAGAGAAGUGAGCGGGCUGUGAACCUGCACAGGCAACAAGACAGGAUUUUGGCCAAACCCGCUUGACAGGUUUUCGAUUCUCCCAGCCAGGAGCAGAAAGGAGGCAGAGACUGCCCUGAGCCGCCAGGCGGGUUCUGCCAUCUCGCAGAAAGUGGCCGGACAGGUUGGGUCUGAAGCCACAUAGAGUUGGGAUUGUUUCCUCAUAAUCACUGUGAGGCUGGGCUGCAGGAGCCAAGCUGGUUAGCACUGAGAAUCCAGUUUGGUGCCUGUGACACGGAGGGCCCGGGCGGGGAAGGGUGGGGGGCUUGCAGGGGUGCCUGGGUCGGGGGCUGCAGGUGGGAGUGAGCAAAUGUGCUGUCUCGCCACCUCGGGACAGGUGGUAGGGCCUCUGACACAGAGUGGUCCUUCCUGCUGUUCACAGCUCAGCUCACCGUGGGCUGACCAUAGAUUCUCGUUGAAAUCCUAACGCCCCAGGCAAUGAUGUUAGGAGGCGGGGCUUCUGGGAGAUGGCAAGUUCGUGAGGCUGCAGCUCUGCUGGGGGAUCAGUGUCCUUCUACAAGCGGCUCCAGGGAGGUCCCUUGCCCCUUCCACCAUGUGAGGACCCGAGAUGGUGCCGUCUAUGAACCGGGAAGUGAGUCCUCUCCGGACGUGGAACAAGUUGGUGCCUUGAUUUUGAACUUGCAGCCUCCAGCUUCAUGGGGUUUAAGUACGAUGAUGCUGCAUUGAGACGUUGUACUGUGUGAAGUCAGGGCCUUCUGUGCAUCGGUCGAGGGUGCAAUGCACACGGCACCCCCGAGCAGCCACCCAUCCUCCCUUCCCUCCACCCUGCGAGGCCCCGUUGUCCGUCUGUCCACACUCUGCUCCAUGAGCACACGUGACUUAGCUUCGCCUUGUGAGCCGCUGCUUGGGGUGAGCAUGCUUCCUGCUGGAUGCUUCUCUAUGUAAGCACCUGCCUGAGUGUCAGCCCUCUUAAGGUGAACCGCUCCGUGUCAUUCGUACAUUCACAAGUUUGUGCCGCCAUCAUCGUGAUCGGAUUCCAAAACAUUUUCAUCACCUCCAAGAAAGCCUUGUACCUGGCAGCAGUCACUGUCUCUAUGGAUUUGCUUAUUCUGGACAUUUCAUAAAAAUAGAAUCAAACAGCAUUUGGCUCUUCGUGUCUGGCCUGUUUCUCUGAGCACGAUAUUUCGAAGAUUCAGCUGGGUCUCGCUCCUGUUCCUGGCUGAAGCUGAAUAAUAUUCCAGUGCACGGCUGGACCACAGUCAUCAACUGACGGACACUUGGUGGUCUCACAUUUCCACUGGUGUGAAUAGUCCUGCUGUGAACAUGCGUGUGCGAGAUUUUGGUUGAACACUUGUCCUCAGUCCUCUUGGGGCAGUGCCAGCCUUGGCAGACGGGCCGGACAGAGGAGGGAUGAUGGCUCAGGCUGGCAGGGGCUGCCACGGGGCAGCGAUGGCCACCUCGAGCCUGGCCAGUGCUUCUGGACUUCCUCUCUGCUGACUUUGUUCCCUGGCUAGAAACAGUUGUGGCAGCGCUCCCAGACCGGGCGUCUGCACGGAGUGGCCUCAGCUUCCUUGAGCUGUGGGAAUUUAACG
rnacentral:lncRNA from 10 species